rnacentral:lncRNA from 1 species
UUUCCCCUUAGCUAUUAAAUAAAAGGCAUAUUUUCUAGUUUGACAUUCAGGGAUCAUUAAUUUAAAAAGUAUACACAUGAUUUACCAUCAAGCACUAUAAAAUAUAAUUUAAUAUUUAUUAACCUAAUACUAUGCUAAUACAUAAUAAUACAUUUUGAAGAGUGAUAGUGUCACAAGAAAAGCAUAUUACACAAAGAUCAAAAGCAUGGUUCUUUAACAAAACACAGAAGAAUAUAAAUCCUAACUCUAGAAAUUAGCUGAGUGAUACUCAGUUUUGUGCUGAUAAAGUUGCUCUCUGAAAAGAGCGCACUCUCACUUGUAGCAUUUGCCAAUUUCUGUGGUGUAAAUACUCCCACCAUGGCCAUUGAAAAGCUACCAAUACUUAUCAGACACAACUUAGAAUAGAUUUACAAGGAGAUCCUGCUGAAUAGCAUUGAGAACUUUGUCUAGAUACUCAUGUUGAAACAGAAGAAAGGGUGGGGGAAAAAAUGUAAUUGUAAUGUAUACAUGUAAGGAUAACCUGACCCCCUUGCUGUACAGUGGGAAAAUAAAAAAAAAUUAUUAAAAAAAUAAAGAAAGAAAGAAAAGCUACCAAUAGCUUAACAACUUUCUCAUAAAAUUUAACAACUCUUAUAAGCUGCUACAAGCUCAUUGAAGCACAUCACCAAUCUGGGUGAAUAUUCUUAGGAUAACAUUUGCCAAUUUUUUCUUCUUAAUAUUUAAUCUUCUUAUUUGUAAAAUGGGCCUAAUAAUUCCUGUAUUAUAGUGUUGUCCUGUGGUUUAAAUGAGAUAUUAUAUUACAAAUUACUUUUCUCUACCACUGUGUUCUAUAAAUAGAACAACAAAACCUGGAUGAAUAUGGUUAUUGAAUACUUUAAUCCUAUUGUUGAGAUUAGCUACUUAGAAAAAAAAGAUUCCUUUAUAAAUAUUACUACUCUUGGACAACACACUCAAGAACUCUGAUGGAGAUAUACAAUGGUAUUUCAUGUCUACCAACACAACAUCUAUUCUACAGCCCAUGGAUGAAGUAAUUUUGACUUUUAAAGUCUUAUUAUUUAAGAAAUGUUUUGUAAGGCUAUGGCUUCCAUAGACAGUGAUUCCUCUGAUGGAUCUGAGCAAGUAAAUUGAAAACCUUUUGGAAAGGAUUCACAAUUUUAAAUAACAUUAACAGAAAUUUGAAAGUUGAUUCUAAUAUUCAUGAAUGACAUUUAGGGGUUCAGUGGAGGAAGUAACUGGUGAUGUGGUGGAAAUAACAAGAGAACUAGAAUUAGAAGUGGCGCCCCCAAUGUGACUACAUUGCUGCAAUCUCAUGAUAAAACUACUACAGGAAUCUACUUCUGGUGAAGAUGAUGGAAACUUAUUGAUAUGACAAUAAAAGAUAUAGAAAUUACAUAAAUGUAACUGAUAAAACAGCAUCAGGGUUAGAGAGGAUUGACUAAUUUUGAAAGACGUUCUACUAUGAGUAAAAUUAUAUCAACCAUUUUUGCAUGCUACAGAUAAAUUGUUCAUGAAAGGAAGAAUCAGUUGAUGCAGCAAAUCUCAUUAUUGUCUUAUUUUAAGAAAUUGCCACAGCCACCCCAACCUGCAGCAACCACCACCCUUAUCAAUCAGCAGCCAUCAACAAUAAGGAAAGACCCUUCACUAAUAAAAUGAUUACAGUUCACUGAAGGUUUAGAUGAUGGUUAGCAUAUUUUAGCAAAUAAAGUUUUUAAUUAAGGUAUAUGCAUCGUUUUGUUAUACAUAAUGCUAUUGCAUACUUACUAGACUAUGGAAAUAUAGUGUAAGCAAUACCUUUUUUUUUUUUCUUUUUAUAGAUGCACCUGCAGAAUAUGGAAGUUGCACCACAGGGGUCACAUUGGAGCUGCAUCUGUGGCCUGUGCCACAGCCCCUACAGAAUCUGAGCUGCAUCUGCAACCUACACUGCAGCUUGUGGAAACACCAGAUCCUUAACCCACUGAGCAACGCAGGGAUCAAACCCACAUUCUGAGAGACAACAUCAGGUCCUUAACCUGUUGAGCCAUAGCAGGAACUCCAAGAAUAAAUUUUAUAUGUGCUGAGAAACAGUCUUAUAUAUGACACACUAUAUUGCAACACUCUUUUUAUUACAGUGCUUGAAAAUCAAACCCACAAUAGCUCCAAGUUAUCCGUACAGUGUAAUUGAGAACAUAAUCCAGGAAUGACUUCAAAUUUGACUUUCUAACUCUGACUUAAAUAUUAAUAACUUUAUUUUUGCCCCUUAACUUCUAGUAUUUCCUCUAGCUUCUUACAUUGCAGUAUCUUAAUUUUCAAAAGAGAAAAAUUGUGUUUUCAAAUAUUUCUUUUCUGUUUUUCUUAAGUGAAAGCAUUUUUCUAUUUGUAUUAUAUCUCAAGCAAGACCCACCGCCAUAGGGUGCAAUCAAGAGCAAAGGUACAGAGCAAACUAACGGGCCUGCAAGGCAAAGAGCUUGUAACCUUGGCCUCAUUAGCAGUAAACUCCCCUAAGCAAGUUAUUGGGUCAGGACAAACUGAUGCCAUGUAAGACAAGAUAAUGGGUUGCUACUCCAAUAUUCAAAUAAUUAUUUUGUGUAAGUUUCAGACAACACCCAAUGUCAUUAAUCUUGGACAGUUUUCCAAGUGUAUACAUGAUUACAUCUACCAUGUUUACUAGAGAGAAGAUUAUUAUAGGAAUACCAAAGAUCUUUGAUUCAAAACAUUUUUGAAGGUAAAACUGUAAUAGCAUUGAUAGCAUUGAUUGUAUUUAUAACUUUAAUUUCUCAUUAUUAAUUGAAUAGUAUUAUUACAUAAUAUCUUUUAAGGAUAAAUAACUUUGACAAAAUAACAGAAAAUAUUUCAAAAAUUAGAACUGCUUAAACUGCAUUUUUAUAUGAAGAGUAAGUAUUUUCUUUAGUGUUUUUAAAUUUUAAACUGCUUCAUACUUAACAUAGUAGUACAAAGAAUAAUAUAUUUAAAGUAUUGGUGAUUAUACAGAUUAAGAAGGAAACUGAAAAUAUUAUUCAUUCAUUCAUUUAUUCAACAUAUUCGGAAACUUUCUUUUUGCCAGAUUCUGUUUAAGGAACUGGGGAUGUGUCAGGG